rnacentral:rRNA from 1 species
UACGUAGGUGGCAAGCGUUAUCCGGAAUUAUUGGGCGUAAAGAGCGCGCAGGUGGUUAAUUAAGUCUGAUGUGAAAGCCCACGGCUUAACCGUGGAGGGUCAUUGGAAACUGGUUGACUUGAGUGCAGAAAAGGGAAGUGGAAUUCCAUGUGUAGCGGUGAAAUGCGUAGAGAUAUGGUGGAACACCAGUGGCGAAGGCGGCUUCCUGGUCUGCAACUGACACUGAGGCGCGAAAGCGUGGGGAGCAAACAGG